ensembl:lncRNA
AAAAAAAAAUGCACACUAAUAUAAACUCAUAUAUAAUGAGUUUUUCAAAAUGUUCUAUAAAAUAUAAAAGAACUAUAGAGUGUAAGUUUAUACUUAUUAUAUAUAUAUAGAUAUAGAUAUAGAUAUAGAUACAGAUAUACGCAUCGCAUGUGUAUACAUGUGCACUUAUACAGUUUUGUCCAAUUUUGAUGGAAAAAAAAAAAAAAAAAAAAAAAAUGAAUAUCGAUAACAGUUUUUCUAGUACCAAUACAAGUCUAAAGAACAUCUAUUUAUUUUUAAAUGAUGAUGCAAAUAUAAAUAUGUCAAAUGAUGAUAAAGAAAAAAUAAAUAUUUUUCUUUUGCAAUUUUAUAAAACACAUCAACAUUUCAAUUAUAAUGAAUUAGAAGAUAUAAAUAUUUUUUUAAAUUUAAUUAUAAACAAAUUUAAAAAAAACGAAAACUUAUUUUUUCAAAGCAUUUUGUUGACACACUUUGAACAUGCAACUAAUCAAUUUAUUAGCAUAAAAAUAAAAGAAAAAUAUAAAAAAUACAUAGAUAAUGUUAAACAAUAUUUUCUUUCGAUUUUUGACUUAAGCUUAUAUUUUAUGAAUAGAAAAAAAAAUGAAAAAAAUAAUUUAGUUAGUCCUUCCAACGUAAAUUUGUUACUUAUAUCUAUGAUAAAAUAUUUAAAGUUGUUUCUAUUACACGCAUUAAAACAAAUAGAAGCCAACUAUUAUAAUGAAUUAUACUGUACGGUAAUAAUCGAAAGUAAAAUUAUAGAUACGCUGAUUUCUAUAUAUGGUCAAAAUGAAAAGGUUGACAAUAACAUUAUCCACUGUUUUGUUUUAUUAACUGAAUAUAAAGAAUUUACUGAAACCAUAAUUAAAUGUAAUAUUGUAAAAAAACUAACUGAAGAGUUGUUACUACUACUGCCACAUAAUGAAGAGAACAACAUUAAACAACAUUUAAUUACUCAAAUAAUUAUGAACAUGGUCAUAAUAAAUCAGAGAAAUAUAAAAUUGUUAAUAAACAAAAAUGAAAAUGAAUAUAUUAAUAAUAUACUAGAAAAGUUAUAUGAGAAAAUUAAAAAUAAACAAUAUGAUUUAACUAGUAUUGAUUUAUUAAAAAUAUUUUUUUAUUUUAUACAAAGUAAUCCUGAUAAUUACAUUUACUUAUUGUUAAAAAAUAGUAAUAGUGAAAUCAAACAAAAUUUAUUGCUUGUACAUGAAAAUAUUUUAUUUUUUGAUAAUAUAAAUAAAAUAAUUGAAUACAUAUCAUCUGAUGUUAUUAAAUCUGACAAUGUGAACAAAAUAAAUGAUAAGCAAAAUGACAUUUUUUGUGAGUUUCUUAGUUUUUUUUUUGUUGUCAUACGAUACAUGUUGAACGUUAUAUUUAGUUCAAAUAACAAAAUAAAAUUGAAACCAUUUUUUUAUGACGAUUCUAUAAAAAAAAAACCCAAAACAAAGAUGAACGAACAGGUUAUAAACUUAAUAAGCAACAUCCUUGGUUUAUGUUUAAACUUUUUAGUUCAAAACGGUAGUUCGCUUCAAGUGGAGAAAAAAAUUUUACAUUUACUAUGCUUUGAUAUAAUCAUAUGUACAAGCAACAGUCAUUUUAUAUCUUACACUGAAGCUGAAAAAAAAGUUUGUAAUUUAAUAAUAGAAAGAGCAACAAUAGCAAUAAAUACAAAUGAAGAACAAAAUGUAGCUCAAAAUGUAGCUAAAAAUGACAACUAUUUAUAUAUGAAAUAUUUUGAGCUAUUGUAUUAUAUUAGUAUUAACAAAGAAGAGGUAUGUAAAGAGUGUUUUUAUGAAAACUUUAUACUACUAGUAGAAAAAAAAUACUACGAAAUAUAUUCCAAUGUUAAUAUAGAAAAUGUUAAUGAAAAAGAAACACGUAGAUUAUUAAAAUUAUAUUAUACUGGAAUAAUAUAUAAAUUUAUCAAAAUAAAUUAUGUGCAAUUAAGAAACAAAUCGGAAAGUGUGUUUUCGUUUAUUCAUUAUGCUAUAAAAAAAGAGCUAAAAAAUAAAUCAUUUUUGCUCGAAAAUGAAAUUUAUUUUUUAACAUUUUUAAAAUUAUUAACUAUGUCACUAAUGAAUAACAUAAUUGAUUUGAAAACAUUUUUUGAAAAAGACUAUUUAAAUGAUUUAUUAAAAAUUAUA